UUUCCCCAUUUUUUCUAACUCUCUCUCUGCUUCCUAUUCUUCCUCAAGAAAAGUCACCCAUUUGAAUCUUCCAUCAAAAACUCACCAACCAUCCAAACAGAGGGGUCCACAGCUCAACUCACUCAUAAAUUUCUUUAAUUUUCUCUCACUGAAAAAUACCCAAGAUAGCUCUUCCCUCUCAUUCAGUCAUCAACAAGCUUGUUUCUCUGCUCUUCAAUGGCUACUUCAGCUAGACCCCCACCACUCGUUCAUUGCUUCUCACCGUUGGAGGAGAUAAUGAUGAAACAACGGCAGCAGCUCGAACUUGGCAAACUCAGGCAAAAAAACAAGGCUUCUAUGGAGAAACUCCAAGCUCCAACCACGAGCAAACACCAUUGAUAUCCCUUCAGCUUUGGGCAUAUUCAACUAACUGCGAAGAGACCUCGGUUAGAAGACUAAGCUUGUUCGAGUUCAAGGGUGAGCUGUUUGUUUCAAGAUGCCAUGAAGUCUUCCAUGAUCUAGUCCCUUUUCCAGCACUAAGACUUUAGUCACUGUUUUAUUAUUAGGUUUUCUUGUGGGAGUGUUUUCCUUCCCUUUUCGGACAUUGUUAGAGUUUUGGUACUGAUGAUUUUCAGUUCCUAGGGUAUGUUUACUUUCGUAUAAUUUGGGUUGAUAACUAGUUGGUUUCUGAGUUUAUGGGAACUCAACAUUUAUCUUUGAUUUAAACCCGCUUCCGCA